rnacentral:rRNA from 1 species
AUGGCCACAUCAUACUUCAAGGAGGUGUUUACGAAGGAUUCGACCCUCUCCCCGGAAUCGGUCCUAGAGAUGAUAACACUGAAAGUUACACAGGAGAUGAACAUGGCUUUAUGUGCGCCAUUUACGGAAGAGGAGGUGUCUGAUGCACUGUUCGAAAUAGGACCGCUAAAAGCACCAGGUACGGAUGGAUUUCCUUCUCGGUUCUACCAACGUAAUUGGGCAGUUAUGAAGGGUGAGAUCAUAGCGGCAGUUCUGGAAUUUUCUAAAACAAGUGUGACGUCGGAGGGUGUGAACGAUACUGCUAUUAUACUAAUCCUGAAAGUUCCUUUCCCUAAGGAGCUCAAGGAGUUUCGUCCAAUAAGUUUGUGUAAUGUGAUCUACAAGAUUGUGUCUAAGUGCUUGGUGAACCGUCUACGUCUUCUGUUGGCGGAAUUAAUUUCAGAAAAUUGGAGUGCAUUCAUACCUGGUCGGCUUAUCUCAGAUAAUUCAAUCAUAGCAUUUGAGUGUGUCAAUCAUAUUCAGACACUGAAGAUUAACAGUCCGGCUGCAUUUGCGUACAAGCUGGACUUGUCAAAGGCGUAUGACCGGGUGGAUUGGGACUUCCUAGAGAAGGCCUUGGGCAGGUGGGGUUUUUCUGCAACGUGGAUCACUUGGAUCAUGGCAUGUGUAAAAUCCGUCACAUAUUCCAUGAAGUUCAAUAGGAAGUUACUUGAGGUCUUCUCCCCAUCGCGGGGGCUUCGACAAGGUGAUCUGUUGUCUCCAUUCCUAUUUAUUUUUGUCGCUGACACCCUGUCAGCUCUUAUUACCAACUCUGUCGAGAAUGGUGAAUUGAGAAUGACCAUUUGUCGAGGUGCUCCAGAAAUAUCUCACUUGCUUUUUGCGGAUGAUACAAUGUUGUUCUUUGAGGCUUCGAGCCAGCAAGCUAGCAUUGUCAAUAGUUUGUUGAACACUUACACUUCAGCAAUGGGUCAACUUAUCAACGCCGAAAAGUGUUCCAUCCUCUUCUCUGACAACUGUAAUGCGGUGGUGGCGGAUGAGGUAAAAGUCAUAUUAGAAGUUUCACAGCAAGUGUUUGAGCCCAAAUACCUGGGCUUACCAGUGCCAGAAGGAAGAUUGCACAAAGGGCAAUUCGAAACACUUCAGGAGAGAUUGAGAGCAAGGUUGAUAUAUAGACUGGAGUGA